rnacentral:rRNA from 1 species
GGGUUGUGAGGUUAAGCGACUAAGCGUACACGGUGGAUGCCCUGGCAGUCAGAGGCGAUGAAGGGCGUGCUAAUCUGCGAUAAGCGCCGGUAAGGUGAUAUGAACCGUUAUAACCGGCGAUACCCGAAUGGGGAAACCCAGUGUGACUCGUCACACUAUCAUUAACUGAAUCCAUAGGUUAAUGAGGCGAACCGGGGGAACUGAAACAUCUAAGUACCCCGAGGAAAAGAAAUCAACCGAGAUUCCCCCAGUAGCGGCGAGCGAACGGGGAGGAGCCCAGAGCCUGAAUCAGCAUGUGUGUUAGUGGAAGCGUCUGGAAAGGCGCGCGAUACAGGGUGACAGCCCCGUACACAAAAGCGCAUGUGCUGUGAGCUCGAUGAGUAGGGCGGGACACGUGGUAUCCUGUCUGAAUAUGGGGGGACCAUCCUCCAAGGCUAAAUACUCCUGACUGACCGAUAGUGAACCAGUACCGUGAGGGAAAGGCGAAAAGAACCCCGGCGAGGGGAGUGAAAAAGAACCUGAAACCGUGUACGUACAAGCAGUGGGAGCCCCACCACCAAAGCAUUCUCUGGUGUUGAAGGCCCUGCAAAGCAGCAUCGCGGUGGCGGAGCGUCGUUUGCGACGCCCAACACACAAAACAAGCGGUGAAUGCUUUGGGGUGGGGUGACUGCGUACCUUUUGUAUAAUGGGUCAGCGACUUAUAUUCUGUAGCAAGGUUAACCGAAUAGGGGAGCCGGAGGGAAACCGAGUCUUAAUUGGGCGUUAAGUUGCAGGGUAUAGACCCGAAACCCGGUGAUCUAGCCAUGGGCAGGUUGAAGGUUGGGUAACACUAACUGGAGGACCGAACCGACUAAUGUUGAAAAAUUAGCGGAUGACCUGUGGCUGGGG